UGGUGUAAAGGAUGAUCCGCCUAAUAAUUUACUUUUAUUAUAUUGGUGUAUAUCUGGUUUAAUAUUAUUGCUGAAUGGCAGAAGUUGUGUAGUGUUAUUUAAGCCAAGUCUAUGUGCUGUUUAUAAAAGUAUUCAUGCGUUACAUUAAUAAGUAUUUAAUUGUAAUAUUAGAGAUUUAAGACUUAAAAAUAAUGUUUAAUUAAUUAUGAAAUGUGAAAUAA
rnacentral:rRNA from 1 species